rnacentral:rRNA from 1 species
UCGAAACCUGCCCAGCAGAGCGACCCGUGAACACGUUCAACCUCGUGGGUGUUGGGGCGUUGCAAGGUGCCUCGUGUGCUUGUUCGCCCCUAUCCUAUGUCGGGGUGCGCGCUCACUUGUGAGCCGUUCCCUCGGCAAAACAACGAACCCCGGCGCGUAAUGCGUCAAGGAACAUAAACUUUAUGUGUGUGCUCUCCAGCCGCCCGGUUAGCCGUGCGUUGGAGAUGUGCCAUGUCUUAACAAUA